UAUUUCUGCAUAAUAAUCUGUCAUUUAUAUGUAAGACUAAUGUAUACCACUCACACAACCAAAGUGAUUUAAACUACUCGGGUCUGAAAGAUAGCACAUCCAUUGUUUUCAUUAGAGAACACAAUUAUGUUUGGAGAAGAAGGCAAUUUUAACAUUGCAAUCACAAAAUUCUCUUUCAAAGUGCUCAUUUAUCCCUGGAAAGUAUUGAAGAAAAUAUAAGUUGGCAAACACCAACCUGGACUAGGACUCUAACUCAAUGAACUUCUGUGAGAUGAUGCAUUAAGAUCCCUGUGGAUCUCCUUAAAGAUCUAUAUAAUUUUAUGUGAAGUGCCUGUGUGAAUUCUUCUGAGAUGUUUCAUGGCUUAGGUCUGCAAUUCAAAGUGGCUUACAGGAAUUUUUUUUUUUUUUUUUUUUUAAUAGUGAAGAGGUGGUUCUUACCUGAAGAUCCAACAUGACAUAAAGAGACAAGACAAAACAUUAUGUUUCUGAGGAGACUUUCAAGGUAAAAAAUGUAGGAUCUGCCCACCACAUCUGCAAAAUUCCAAAGGCUGAUUUGUCUUUAUUAGGGUAAAUAUACAAACGAAUGAGUGUGCAUAGUAUAUUGCAAUUCCAAAACAGAUAUUUUGAUCACAAGCUGUGAUAAUUGUGAUUUAAAUUAACUCUCAUUUUGAUUACUGGUUAUUUCCUAUGUUUUGUAACAAAGGAACACAAAUUCAGAAUUUGUAACACAGAACUAAGCCUACAUUUUCUCUUCAGGGAAUCCUUAACAUGAAAGAGUGGAAGUCUCAGAAAAGUCAUGGAAAGUACUAGGGAAACUUCUUUCUUGUUUGACAUCCUGCCAUCCACUGUUGAAGAGACCUAUAAUGCAUCAGAACUGCGCCCCAGAUAGAGAAAACCGAUAUUCCCCCUAUAAUUGUGGUUAUUAGUAUAUUUUAACAGGAAUAAGACAAUAGUGUCUUGAGAGUUCUUCCUUAGAAUAAUUCUUCAUAACGGAAUGAUAUAGAAGACAUAACAGAUCAUCAUCAGAAGAUAUAAAUUAUGUUGUGAAACUUUUCCUGCAUAUUUAAAGACAAAUAAUAUAUAAAAUAAAGCACUUAAUCUUACUUAUUAUGUUGGCUUUAUAUCCAGGGGAAGAUGUUUUCAGAUGUAAAAGUGGAGUCAGACUUGGAUUAUACUUACAAUCUUUUCACACAAAAAGAGAUUUAAGCCUAUCAUUGUAGGAACAAAUACACAAAGAAAAUAGCCACAAAUGUAGGCUGAGAACCUAGCUAUUGGCCUCAUCAAAUAUUCUGCUCCCAUUUUGCAUUUCUCAGUGUUAACAAAAGUUAUCUCAUUUGGCCAUCUCCCUGUUAGAUUAUAAUAUUACACUCAAAGUAUAGAUUUGAAAACUGAAGCUCAGAGAAACUGGCAAAUUUUCUCAACAUUGCAGAGCUGCUAAGUAAUAGAACUGGGACCAGUGCAGACCUUUCAGAAGUUAUGGGGCAGACUUUGUGCCUUCAUGUAAAUAAACACAAUUUGAAAUGGCCACAGUCUCACCAUCCACCAUGCAGAUGAUUUGAGGCCAUUCAACAUUCUACCUCCCUUUCACUGCCAGUCAGAGUCAUUGCAUUAGCAGUCAACUAAUAAUUCUUUCCAAAAUCCCCUGAAUGUCAUAGUGUGAUAGCUCCUUUCUCUAGCCAUCAUUCCAGAUAAAGGAUGAAGUCAAGGUAAAUCUGACUACAAAUUUUGGGAAAGAAAAUUUAUUCAAGAUUUAGAGAUCAAAAUGAGGUCUUUGAAGUAAUUUGCUUGUCCUUUCUUCUAUCAUAUUUUUAUGAGACAGUUCAGAAAACAUCUAUAACUUUUUUUCAGGCAAACUGUCAUCCUUUUAUUUCCCUGCAGGCAAAGUUGUUAAGAAAUUUUAAAAUAAAAAGUAAAAUUUGAGAAAUAAUUUUAAUAUUGUAAAAACACUAAGAAGGAGGGGAGAAAAAUUAUGUCUAAAUAUUAGAAGAACUUCAUACAAAUUGAGAGUCUGGGAACAUGUGAAUUGACAUCUAUAAAAACUGACUACAGUAUUAUCAAUCUGUCAUUAUUAUAAACAAAAAAUAGCCUCACUUUUGGAGGACUAGUUAUAUUGUAAGUUUAAAAUAAAAAUACAGAGCACAUAAGUAUUAACCAGGUAGUCUUUAUAUUCACUAUCUGUGAUUGGAUUUAUGUGUAUAUUUUUUUCACCUAUCAUUUUCAGAAUAAUUUUUAGGCAAUUUGGAGUGAAUACAAAAUAGAAUGAAUAAAAUGGAUAUAUCUAAUGUAUUAUUAAGCUCCAUAAACUGUAUCGUAUUAUAAUAAUUACUACUUAAGUAUAUGUAACUUGUUUAAUAGUGUUUUAUAAUAUAAACAGAUGACUACUUCAGGUAACAUGUCCCAGUUAAGACAAACACUGUAAAGGCAUGGCCACUAGUCUGUGCUGUUGUAUAAGAAAUAUACUAAUUUUCAUAAAAUUAUGUCUAAAAGGAACUAACUCCAUUUACUCUGUGUUAAGAAUCACAACUAUUAGAUCUCAGGUUUACAAUUGCAACUUUCUAUAAUAUGUUAUUUGGCAAGUCAAUAUUGGGGAAAAUAUGAAAUUAAAAACAUAGAAAGCCAUCGACGGUUCUCUUUUCUUCUAAAUUCAAAAAAUGGUAUUUUUAGUACUAAAAAGAUAUUGAAAUUUAUAAAAUAUGUAGUAUGUUAAACUACAAAAUAAUACCUCCUUUUUAUCUGAUGCAUUAUACAAAAAUAUUCCAGCACCUGGAUGUAGUUAAUGAGUAAGUAAUUUGCCUGCACUUAUUACUAACAAACCAUCAUAAAUAGCUUUGCCAGAUGACCUCAUUAUGAUAAAGAACAUACAUUAGUGAUAAUUUUUAUAUUAUAUUUUGUUUUAUGUAAUCAUCAUCUCAGUUAUCCAUAAACACUUCUAGGUUUGUUAGUUAAAAAAAAAUUACAUCUUUGGAUGUAAUUACCCUUUAUCUAUAAGUUUCUUAUAUUUCACUGACAAACGAGGUACUGUUAAAUUACAGCCUCAACACUGAAAAUUGUUUCAGGAUUUGAAAAGAAAUGGACAUUUUAAACUAAAAGCAAUAUUGUAAAUUCCUCAUGUUUACAAAAUGCAGUUUCAAAUGCCGUAAAUUCUAAGUAUAAGACAGGCCAAAAAUCAGAAUGAGAAACAUAAAAGUGUAUCUGAAGUCACUUCAUUAUUUCUCAGAAAACAAGGUCUAUCUAAAUAUAGAUAUUAUAUACCUGCAACUUCACAAUGCUCUAUUACAGAGAAAAUUUAUUCAAUCAAACAUGCACCAUUUAUCUGCAAAGAUAUGAUGGAUGAUUACAUUCAGUAAACAAUUAAUAUUCUCCACUCAGUUAAUGAGGAUGAACAGGCAUAUGAUGUUAUUCUGGAUAUUUCUAUGUGAAAGCAUGAUAGGUGAACCAAACACCUUGUUUAAAAAUGGAAAUACCACAAAAACUGUACUCAUCUCAAAACACCACUACGCCUGUCAUAUAAAAAUCUGUUUUGCACAAUAAAAACAAUUAGAGACAUCCAAAUCAUAAUAUUUUAAAGGUAAUAAGCAGAUCAAAUAUGGAUGAAAAUUGAUCAUUCAGUUUUAAACGCUGUGGAUAUUCUGUUGCCAUUUUACUAAUCAAACAUUUUUUGCUAUGUUGUAUAACAAAUAAUAUUUAGUCCUUAGGAAAAACAAUGUCAUGGCAGCUCACCAGUAGUUUGAGUUUUGUCAUUUAUAACAUGAGUAACUUAAAUAUAUUAUUUUGUGAACACAUUACAAUGUUUGAACAGUGUACACAAAAAGGAGUAACAUUCGUGUAUGAAUCCUUGCUCCAAAACUUCAGUGGGUAUGUGGCCCUGGGCUUGUGUCCGUUUCCUCAUCUAUAAAAUGAAGAUAAUAAUAAUAACUACAUUAUAAAGUUCAUAUAAAAUUAAAUGUAUAUAUAUUUAUAAGAUUAUGCCUAUAAAGGCUUCAGCAUACCUAGCAUUUACUAAACAUGCAGGGAUUGUUAAAUAUGCAUUAUUAUCAUUAAAUUUAUUUUAUUCAUAUGAAAAAAAAUUCUUCAGAGCAAAUCAGUUUCUAUAAAAUGCAGCCAAAGAAAAUAUCCUUCUUUAUGUUUGCAAUUCAGCAUCUCUGGACUUUUGUUUCAACACUGCCCACAUAAUUUUCUUUUCCACCAUUGCAGCUCCCACAUUUACACCCCUGCCAAAAUCUUGUUUUGACUCCAUAAGUUUGAAAACAUUGGGAUUUUACUUUUUCAUGUGGCAUACCACCAUACAUAAAAUAGGAUAACACUGAAACAUUGGGCUUUAUGUCUACAUGAUCAUCUUGUAUAUUCGGAUGUGAAUACUUGGUCAAUCAGUUGGUUGAUUAUAGGCAAUUCAUUUAGUUAUUCUCAAACAUAGUCAUUUCAUCUCUCAAAGAUUACUAUCCCAUUUCUCAAAAUUGUGGCAAGCAUGCUUAAAUGGGCUAAUACAGGUAAAACUCCUAGCAUAGUAAUAUUAGCUCCUUCUUGCUACCUAUGUAAACCUAUUUAUUUUUUUGUGUCUUUCAAGCAGGAUUACCAAGUAAUCCUCAUUUUGGAUAGUUCCUGGUAUAACCGAGUGCAUUUCAUGUUUCCUAAUAGUUUGAAGCCAGCAAGAGCUGCCUCUGGUUUGCAUGUUAGCUGUUCUUAAACCUAGCUGCCUAUUUCUUGCUCAAGGAGGAAACAUAAAAAUUUUCCUAGGUGAGAGAGAUGUUUGCCACAUUUCUAUUGCCAUGUUUUCUAACAGCUAGUGUCUACUACUUUCUCGACCUUCUGCUUUGUUGUUCUGCUUUCCUUAACCUCAGCCCUCACUUCCUUUGUGCUCCUUGUCCUGACUUGCUGCUCUUGGCUUCUUAAAUUACUACCAUCUAUUUCAUCUUUUAGUCAGCAAGUACUCAAGAUUCUCUAGUCUUUAGUACCUCAAGUCUGCUUACUGAUUUUUUAAAUCUAGUUUGUAUCCAGGGCCUGAUGGUGGCCUUUGGCUUUCGUGUAUACUCUGGUUUCUAGCUUCUUAUAAAAUCUUUGAACUGUGCUACUGGCCUCACCUCUACCAUUUCAAUUUAUUCCAGCUGUCUUCUUGUCUUUACAUCCACUGCUUUCUUUUGCCUUCUAGGUUCAUUGCAUGUCUUGAACCCUGACUUAACCAUUGAUUGAGUCUCAUCUUUUAUAUUCCUAUUUUCGUGAAGAAUCUUAUUACUUAUGAUUACUCUAGAAAAUAGUGGGAAAAAAAAUCUAUGGAAAGUUAGGCUUAAUGAUCAUUAGCAUUUACAAAGGCAAGAAAAGGAGCUUCCCACAAUCUUUGAUUCCUAUAUUUAACCUUCUUAGUUCAAUAGCUCCUGGACACCCAGGAAACAAAUUAUGACAGUCAACCCCCAACCCUUCCUCCCUCAAAAUCCUAUUUCUAGAUGUUUCUUUAAUUCAAAUGUUAGCAACUUAUAACUUAAAUGGUAAGCCUGUAAAAUAGAUCCAGUUGUUUUAUUUUUGUUUUGGUGGGGGGAGCUGCAUCCACGGCAUAUAGAAGUUCCCAGGCCAGGGAUCAAAGCCAGGCUGCGCUGUGACCUACACCACAGCUGCACCAACACCAGAUCCUUAAACCACAGUGCCACAGUGGGAACUCCAAAAUACAUCUAAGUUUUAAGAGUUCAGUUCAGUAAUCGGAAAGAACAAAAAAGGUUGUUAUAAAAUGAUUACUUAGGGUCAGGAUGCCUUGAAUUAUACUGGAACUGGAAGCCAUUUGAGUCAUUAGGGAGGAGGGUUGACACUAGGUUGGUUCAAGAGCAGAAGAGAGCUGCAGCCCUUGAAUGGGACGUUGAUGACAUAGGAUAAGAAGGCUCAAAUACAUAGAAUGUAAGUGGCAAAAGUAAAAUAAGAAAAGCAAAGACUUAGAGGGAAAAGCAGUGAUGUCAAUUGAGAAUUGUCACAGAUUCUGGUAGGCCUUCCAUGUGGCCUUUGAGGAAGACAGAAGCGCAGUGUGUGGGAUCUGGAAGCGAUCUUUGUAAUAAUCGACUGCAGCCUCCUCAUUUUUUCAGGACUUUUAACAUACAUCAUUUCCUUCCUGCCUCUGUGGGUCCAUACUUAGAAACUUUGGCCCUGCAUGUUCAAUGCUUUCAGAAAUAGUAGCUGCCUUAGAACAUACUGAACUGGAUUAAAAGCAGCAGCUUCCCUG
rnacentral:lncRNA from 1 species